UACGGAGGGUGCAAGCGUUAUCCGGAUUCACUGGGUUUAAAGGGUGCGUAGGUGGGCAGGUAAGUCAGUGGUGAAAUCUCCGGGCUUAACCCGGAAACUGCCAUUGAUACUAUUUGUCUUGAAUACUGUGGAGGUCAGCGGAAUAUGUCAUGUAGCGGUGAAAUGCUUAGAUAUGACAUAGAACACCAAUUGCGAAGGCAGCUGGCUACACAAAUAUUGACACUGAGGCACGAAAGCGUGGGGAGUCAAACAGGAAUU
rnacentral:rRNA from 1 species